CAAGUUUGGUGCCAGCAGCCGCGGUAAUUCCAGCUUCAAUAGCGUAUAUUAAAGUUGUUGCAGUUAAAAAGCUCGUAGUUGAAUUUCGGGGUCAGCUUUUUGUCGUGCCUCUGGUAUGUACUGGUUUUACUGAUUCCUCCUUUUUGAAAAACCGUAAUGCCUUUAAUUUGGGGUGGGGGGAAACCAGGACGGUAACUUUGAAAAA
rnacentral:rRNA from 1 species